rnacentral:lncRNA from 1 species
UUUUUUUUUUAACCCGCAGAAACCUCAUCGAAGAUAUUAGAAGAGGCACAUUCAACUCCUCCGAUUUGCAAGAAGUUUAUUUUAUGAACGACUCGGAUAUACAAAAACUUAUCAACGAUGCAAAAGAAAUUGAUGACAAGGCAAAGAAUGUUCAAAAUAAGAAUAGCAACAAUGAUAUAAGCAUGAGCAACAUAAGUAGCGUUAAUAAUAUAAACGCUAGUAGUAAUAUAAAUGCAAACAUAGCUAGCAUGAUGACACAAGUAGUGAAUAAAAGCAGCACAUGUGAUGCAAAAUUGGCAAACGUAAUGAACGACACGGGUAAUAUGAUAACAAACACAACUAACAACAACCUAAACACAAAUGUUUAUAACAUAAAUGUGAAUGAUAAAAUUAUUACUAGUGUUAUUGGUACUACAGACAAUAGUAAUAGCCAUUCAUUUAAUAAAGGUAUUAACAGUUGUAAUGCAAAUGAUAGUAAUAUUUUUAUAGCUGAUAACAAAAUUGAUAAAGUUUGUAUAAUUAGAUUUCCACCAAAUGUUGCAAAAGAAAUAAAAAAAUAUUUAUUAAAAAAAGAAUUAGAUUUAAAAAUUGAAUUAACUAAUUUAUUAAAUUGUCGUUUUUAUAUUAUCCAUUUCAAAAAUAUUAAUAAAAAAUAUUAUGGUAUUUUACUUGAACUUUAUACUCAUAUAGAAAUACACAAAACGUUAGAUAAAAAUAAUUUAUAUAAAACUAAUGACGUGUCACAAAUUAUUUAUGUAUAUGAUCCUAAUGAUAAAUAUAAUAAAAAAAUAGUUCAAAAUUUUAUUCAUAACAAUUUUCAGUUUUACAGUGCAAUAAAUAACAAAGCAAACAAUUUUUCAUUUCAAAAUCAUGUUACUUUAUACAAUUACCAUGACAUUUAUUUUACCGAAAUGCUUGUUAAUAAUUAUUUGAAUUACAAUUUUUAUGACUAUUAUGAUAUAACUGUUAAAACGUAUAAUGAAAUGUACACACAUAUAAAAAAUGAAAAACAAAAAGAAAAUACACAAAACGAAAUAGUCGAUAAUGGUACCAAUAUAGCUGACAUUUUAAAUUCGCUUGACAAUACAUAUACUCUUAUGCAACAAAUAGAAAAAGAAAAUGGGUUUAUGGAUUUUGAAACAUUAUUAAAUUAUGAAAUUGACAAUGAAAAUUAUGAGUCUGACGUGUCAGAUUUGUUGUUAGGAGGCCCUUACUAUUUGAGUAAGAAGCAGCAAUGAAAGAGUAAGUGGGUCUCGUCAUGUUUUA